GGAGAGAUGGCUGAGUGGCCUAAAGCGCUCGAUUGCUAAUCGAGUGUACGUUUUUCGUACCGAGGGUUCGAAUCCCUCUCUCUCCG
rnacentral:tRNA from 1 species